GGUGCUGUGGCGCAGCAGGUUAAUGCCCUGGCCUGAAGCGCCAGCAUCCCAUAUGGGCGCUGGGUUCGAGACCCAGUUGCUCCA
rnacentral:tRNA from 1 species